AAAGCUUUUCAAAACCACCCAGUCUAACCUCUUUAUUUUACAGAUUAGGGAUCUGAGACCCGCAGUAUGGCAGUGACAAGAUCCAAGUCUUGGGACACCUAGCCAGGAGGGAAGAAUUUGAGGGAGAGGUGGAAAAUAUGCGAGGCUGAACUGACCUUCAAGGACAAGAAGGCUGUGUUCAGAUAGACAGAGUUUGUCUUCUGGGAGAGGAGUGGGCUUAUCCAGGAUGAUCCCAAAGGCAGAUUGAGGACCAGUGGGAGGACAUCCUGAGAAAGCAGAUCCAGCUUUAGGCAAGGAAGGACUUCGUAACAGGCAGAGAGCCCAUGUUGGAAACAAGCAGCUCUGCAAGGUGUGGGCCCACUGUCUGACUCCCUGCGGGGCUGCUGCCUUGGAAGAGCCUCCUGCUUAGAGAGGUUGGUGGAACCAGGGUGCUCCAGCUCCUUUCCAGCUCUGACCCCCAAGAUCAGCCCACCCCUGCCCCAGCCGAUCACCCUGAGGAUCUGGAGGGUCCUUGGUCUUUACACAGCCUGGUUCUCUGGCUUGAUUAUUUGAAAACUCUCUUCAACUCCAGGUUCUCCUGCCGCCAGCUGUCUCUCCUGAGUCCUGAGCACCACAUCUCUGGACCGUCUGGAGCCUCCCCUCCCUUGGCUUACUGCUCCCACCACCCUCUCUCUCCACCUUGCAAGAGACACUCUCCCUCAUCCUGGGUCAUCACCCUCUUUAGAGGCGCCGCCUGGCCACGAGGUUGGAUAUGGGGGGUGGGCAGGAUCUUGGCCUUACUUGAUGCAGUGCACACCUCCAACAGGCAUCAGAUGGAGUGCAGCCGGGAGCAAGAUUCUCAUAGCAAUUACAAAGAUUCACAAGAAAAUGUGCCCUCCACUACACAGCUGUAAUUUACAUGCUUUCAAACUUGAUAUGGAAUGACUGUGGUUUCCCCUGAAAGAAGCAUCACUGAUCUCUGCACAGGAGAAACAAGGUGGGCACUGAGGGAAGGGCUUUGAAACUGAGACGGGAGCCUGGCUCCCGCCCCAGCCUGGCUAGAGAUCUUGAAUGUGGGUUUCUGAACACAGCAUGGGGCUGUGACUGGGCGUCCCUAAGAAGAGUGGUCAGCAUGCCGUGCCCCAUCACCAGGGGGUUAGAUGUUGUGGGUCCAGCUGAGGCAGAGAGGAGCUGGGAAUAUAAGACAGGCCAGCUCCUGGCCUGGCAGCUGAGGCCUGCAGGCUGCCUGGCCAUGAGUUUGGGGGACCAUGUCAGGCCGGUAGGCCACCUUUCCUUACAGAGACACCCUGUGACAGUGGCCACUGCAACAGACCCUCAGAUGAGGUGCUGUGACUAGGACUUGACCUUUUGGACUUGGAAAGCAUCCAUUGGGCUGGGGGGCUCUUGGAGUUAUUUAGAAGGAGGACCCCGAGAUUCCCUUGAAAGAGAUGAUGUAAUCCCAAAUGCUAGAGAAUGUGACCUCAUUUUAUGCUCCAAGUAGCUGACAUUGGAAUUGGGUUAUAAAUGCAUUUUUGCCUUUCCUGAACAAAGCAGUUUUUGCUUCCCAGGGGUGUGUGUGUGUGUGUGUGUGUGUGUGUGUGUGUGUGUGUGUGUGUGUGUGUGUGUGAAGGCCCACUGGCCCAGAUGAGUGUUACAUGGCCACAUCUUUAAAGCAUAUUCCAGCAGGGUAAGCUUGUUCCCCAAGGCCAUGUGGGGUUGUGCAGUGACUGACUGGUCCUAUACAGCCUGGAGAGCGCUGAAGGAGAAAUAGCUGUUGGGGGGUCUUAUUUCAGGUCUGCUUUCUUCAGGCCAUGCCUUGUUUCUGUUGGGUUAGGGGAAGUUGCUGGGCAAAUGUGAGCAGGUGGCGCACCUGCCAAACACUGACAUGACCACACGUAAGUGUCAUGGCUUCCCUAGGCACGCGGAGGCCCUGAGCACACCCAGCCUGAGGGCCCAGGUGCAUCCUGAGAGUUGAGGACAGAUGUGGCAGGGGUAGGGUGUCAGGCCUGUUUUAAUCAGAGAAGCAACUGCCUGCCACAGUCGAUGUUAAGCUCCUGAAACAUCAUGCAAGCUACUUGCUCGGCCUUCUGACUCAGGAUUGAAAUAAAUGCUGCAAUCCUGCUACAAAGAAGUUCAUGUUCUGACUGUGCUGGAACAUUCCUCAUCCUUGCUGGCUGUGAUUGUUAAAGAUGCAGUGCAGAUGGAGGCUUGUCCUUUCCAUUUAAAGGAGAAAUAGGUGUCAGGAUUGGAGGUGAGCCCAUCUGAGGCAGGUGCCUUUAUGUCGCCCAGGUGUCCUGCACCCCUCCUCUUGUAGACUAUGCCUCUGGACGUGUGGCCUUGAGCGUGACCCCUGGAGUUUACCCCAGUGUUUGGCUAGGGGAUCCCAAGACGUACAGUGUCAAAGGACAGAUGGCAGGUCAGCCAGGGCCUGGGAUGUGGAAGCGCCCACCUCCAUUUUCAGGCUCUGUGUCUUUGGGCAAGUCAUCAACUUAUCUGAUCCCCAUUCUCCAUCCCUGUCAAAUAUGGAUUCAUGAUCCCUGCACUUUGCCCCUGUGAGCCUGUUGUGAGGUGCCCUGUGUGUGUGUGGAAGGGCUUCGUACACAUCAUGUUGUAUACCUGGUAUGGGCCAUCGGGCUCAGCACUGAGUAUACAGCCCGGAGAGUGAGGCAGCUGCAAGGAGCUGCUGCCACGUGGCCUUGCAGAACCCUUUCUGGUGCCACCACUGACGUCCACAUCAGGGAAUGAGUCAAGGCUCUGAGUCCCUGUCUGCAAUGCCACCUCCUUGAAAGUUCCCCUACUCCAACCAUGUUCAGAGUCCUCAAGGGAUGUGAUAUAUUC
rnacentral:lncRNA from 10 species